AAAGAGACGGCUAUCUAGUAAGUUGUUGUAUACAGGGUGUCCCACGAAGUUCUGACAAAUGAAAUAACUUGUAUUCUAAUCAAUAUUUUUUCAUUUUUUUUUUUUUAUACAAUUAAUAGACGUUUGUACUACACGUAUAAUAUAAACUUUUUUAUUUUCAUUUUUUUGUGCAUAAAAUAAGAAAUUUUAAAUUUGAUUUUCAUUUUUUUCAAAAAAUUCAAAAUAGCCAAUUUAUAAACAUAUUGAAAAAAAUAGAUUUAACGUUUACGGUAUUUAAUUUGAGUAAUCCAUUUGCGACUUAUUAACAUUUAAAUAUUCGUUCAAUUUACUGCUACUGGGAAAUUUAUCAAACCCAAUAGUAAAAACCAGAAGCCAAAAUGAAAUUAUAUCUCAAUUUAAAGAUACCCAUUACGGUCAAAAUCGAUAAUAACUAAUAAGUAAUGAGUUUAGUAUGUACUAUGUACAAUGGUCAUACGAAUUGGACAUUUGGACCUUCCUUUCCAAUCCCCACUCCUACCAGAACACUGAUUGUUGAGUGAACAACGUCAAGCCUGUAGUUGUAGUCUGCCGCAGCUGUAUCAGCCUGCAGAAUAUCAGCUAUAAAGUAUAAAAAUAACAUUUUACAAUUUACCUUCAUGGUUACAUAAUGUAGCACUGGUUAUUGAUUCUUGGUAUACGGUUUUAUCACUUAUCACGUUUGUAGAUAAACGAGAAUUAACAUUAAGAUUUUUAACCUUAAACGGUUAAUUUACAGCACGAUUUAUGAUAAUUUUAUUAUGUUAGAUCGUGAUCAACAAUUAACGAAUGUAAAUUAUUGAUAGUAGUAAAUAAUAAUAAAUAUUUUUAUUCAAUGAUUUCAACUUAUUACUUAAUGAAGUGAUCAGUAUUAUAGAAUAAGUAAUACAUUUUAAUGAUAUGUCGACGAAAUGUUGACAAAGAAGAAUUUGGCGUAUCCGUCUUCUGUAUCACAAAAAAAAAUAAUAAAAACAAAGUACCUACUAGGUAUACCAAUUACAAUUAUUUCAAAUUUAUCAAUUAAAAAAUUGUAUGAAGAGCCUUUAUCAUUCAAUUUGAGGGAAUGUCAAGUCCAAUUAAGUAUAUCUUAAACCAAGUAAUUGAUAAGUCAUCCUUAUUACUUUUUACAUAUUUGCAAUAUAAUGCACCAAAAUCUUCAAAAACUUCGAUUGUUAAGAAAGUAUUUACUUUAAACGUUAAAUAAUCAACAAAGAAAGUGUACCUAAUGUGUACUUACCUUUCAAUGCAAGAAUCAAAGAAGAUAUGAAAUAAGAAAAAAAUUAUUACUUAAUAAUUUUUAAUGGUGACAUUAAUAUACAUUUUAUUGCUCGAACAACAACUGGCCUAAACUAGAAGAAAUAUUUUUCAACAAUAUGUAUGCAAAUUGAAAACUAUGUAGUAUUUUGAUUUAUUUAUAAAUAAAGUACUAUAAUAAAACUAAGAAGUUUAAUUUGUUGGUUACCGCGGGUCAUUACAAGCAUUGUGGACUAGGUACUGACCAUUAAAAAAAAAAAGGCUCGUCAUAAAAUUUCCAUAAAUAUGAUCCAAUUACUACAAUUAGUUUACUGUUUGAUGUGUCAGAACAAACAUAGAACAUUAACUGGUGAUAAACUUUAUUUGGAUUCAUCUAAAUUCUCAUUAUUGUCAAAACAAAAUCAAAUAGAAAGUCUUAUCACAAAAUGUAAAAGUGACUUUCCACAUGGAUUUCAUAAUUCAACAAUGUAUACCUACUCACAACAUUGAAUAUCACAUAAUAUCUUGACUGUUUGAAUAUUAACAUACAUGCACUACACCAGCUAUGCAAUCUAACUGUACCAAUAGAUAAAUUAAGUAUGAUUAAAUUAGUUAAAUUAUAAAAAACAUAUGUUAUAGGUGUUAUAAUUUUAAUAAUAAUACUAUACUGAGAAAAAUCUAAAAUUCUACAAAAUACUUAGCAAAGACAACUUUUUCUAAAUUUAACAAAAUGUGAGACUAAGGUCGUAGACUUCUAGCGUAUAAAGAUCUUUAUUUAGUUCUAUUUUUUUCAAAUUUAUCUAUAUCUUUGUCACAGAUGAGGUGGAUUAUAAGCAGGAAACUUUUUCAUUUUUUUUCUUAGAAGUAACGAUUAGAUUUGUUGAAUUACUAAAAGAUUUUAGAUUUUACACAAAUACUCUGCUUAUGCAAUCCGUUAAGUAAAUUCUAUUAUUUUUUGUAUAUUUAGUGAAUUUAGUCAGUAUUUCAGAAAAAAAAAUGAUUUUACUAAAUUUUUGUCUUAACAGCAAUCAUUAAUGUGCGCAAUUGCAUCCCUUGUUUCUUUCAAUAACUAAAAGAUAUAACUAAUUGAUAUUAGCUAUAUAGUUUUAAUAUAGUCAUUGAUCAUGAAUAUUAGUUGUUAAUGCUUAUGAACUGUUAAUUUUUAAUUAUUAAUAAUAUUGUUAUAUUACAAUGAAGGUUAAAUAAAAAAGUUGAUUUUUAAAUUAAACAUGUCUGUGCAUGCCUGUAACAAUAUUAUAUUUGAUGCAUCUUUUCGGAUUUAAUAUGUAAAAUGUAUGUUUAAUUAAUAUUAUUUAAUUAUUAAAUAAAAGUUAAACAGUAGGGCCCACAAAUAUCGAUAAAUGCAAGUUUAUUAAUGUUGCUGUUAAGAUACUUACCUUUUAGUACAUACCUACUAUAAGUAGGUAUCAAAAUAAAUAAAUUAUUAUUUAAUAAUUACCAUCGUAUUUUUAUUUAAAGGUUUUUUUUUUUAACAUUAUUAUUUUACGGCCAACAUUUAGGUUUUUGAUAAUGAAUAACCUCUCCUCUUUUUCUGUCUUGAGUAGGACACCUUGGUGUAUUCUUAAACAUACAAAAAAAUAUAAAACAUUAUUUAGUCAUGUACAUAAUAUUAUGUAGAAUGAAUUACAAUAAAUUAUUAAAUAUGGUAAAUAGUACAAAAAACAUUAAUAUUACUUUAUUAUUUUUAUCAUCCCAAUAAGCAAAUCUAGAUUUGGCUUUCCUUAUAAUGUAUUUAUCUUCCACAGUUUGUUCGCCAAUUUUGAUGCCAUUUAAAAUUUCCAAAAAUUUACUGUGCUUGGGACACCACCAUUCAGUACAAUUCUAAUAACAUACAAAUUAUAAAUAUGAUAUUAAAACUAUUUUAAAUAAAUACAUUACAUAAUUUGUUUUCAAUGUAUCAUCGAUGACAUUUAUCAGACUGCUUGUCUCAUCUUGUAAUUUCAAUCUAUCCAUCUUUGAGCAUACAAGUUUUUCUAUAAAAGAAACCUUGGAUUCAAUCGGCAGUAAAUCAUCUCUCUUAACAUAAUUAUUCAUAUUUUUAGCAGAUGAGAUUAAGCUAUGCACAUUUUGUUGUUCCUGAAAGUAAAUAAUUUUAAUUUAGGAAAAUGUGUUGGACAUGCUUUUUUAUUUACUAAAUUUAUUUUUACUUUUUUUUUUUCUUCGUAAUGUUCUGCCUUAUCUUUCACCUCAAUAGUGGCCAUUUUUUGUUUAAAUAAUUUCUACAAAAAUAACAGUUAACAAAUUUUAUUUAAAUAAUUUUGCUACUUUUACUUACAAUUUCUUUUUCUAAAGAAUCAUUUUUGGUUUUAAUUGCUGACUAUAAAAAAAAAAAACAAAAAAAUUGUAAUAUGUAAUUAAUAUUAUUUAUUAUUGUUAAGCAUUAUAAAUUUUUUUAAAUUCAAUAUAAAUUUUGUUACCAAUGUACUUACAUUGUCUUCUUCCAAAAUCUCAUUUUUUGUUUUAAGUAUAGCCUAUAUAAAAAAAAAAUGUGUUACUAUUAUUAUUUAUUAUUAUUAAGCAUGUUUUUUUUAUUUUUAAACAUACAUAUUUUUCUUUAUAUGACUUUUCUUGAAUUUUUAAUGUCACCUAAUAAUAUUAUGUAAUUGUUAAUAAAUUGUAUACUAACUAUGUAAUUUUUUUUUUUCAUUAUUUAUUAUUAGGGCAGUGAAGUUAUUGCAUUAAAAAACUCAACAAAUUGAUUGUAUUAUUGCACUAAAAUAUAUUAAAAAUUGCACUUAAGGAAAAAAAAUAGCAUUUAUUUCAAUAAAAACAUAAAAUCAUAGCUAACUGAAACAUAUUUUAAGCUCACUUAGCAAUGAAUAUAAUAUUAAGUAUCUACAAAAAAAUAUGAAAAUGCAACAACUCCACUGCUUUAAUAAUUUGGUCACUUACAAGUUCUUCAGUGAGUGACUUAUUAUCAGUUUGAAGCUGUAUCACAUCUUCAGCAUAGUAACUGCUUUCAACUUUUUUAUUGUUAAAUUGCUCGUUUAAAUUAUGGUAUUGCUGUAAAUGUGUGUAUUGUUGUUUCUUAUUAUUAUUUUCAGAAUAUAAAUAAAAUUGAUGUAUAUAUUAA